AGCUGAUCACUGGGCAUAAAGCGUGCGCAGGCGGCUUUGUAAGACAGAGGUGAAAUCCCCGGGCUCAACCUGGGAACUGCCUUUGUGACUGCAAAGCUGGAGUGCGGCAGAGGGGGAUGGAAUUCCGCGUGUAGCAGUGAAAUGCGUAGAUAUGCGGAGGAACACCGAUGGCGAAGGCAAUCCCCUGGGCCUGCACUGACGCUCAUGCACGAAAGCGUGGGGAGCAAACA
rnacentral:rRNA from 1 species